GGGCCCGUAGCUCAGCAUGGAUAGAGCGCCGGCCUCCGGAGCCGGAGGUCGGGGGUGCGAGUCCCCCCGGGCCCGCCA
rnacentral:tRNA from 1 species